UNUGACUUGAGUGCAGAAGGGGAGAGUGGAAUNCCAUGUGUAGCGGUGAAAUGCGUAGAUAUAUGGAGGAACACCAGUGGCGAAAGCGGCUCUCUGGUCUGUCACUGACGCUGAGGCUCGAAAGCGUGGGUAGCGAACAGGAUUAGAUACCCUGGUAGUCCACGCCGUAAACGAUGAGUGCUAGGUGUUAGGCCCNUUCCGGGGCUUAGUGCCGGAGCUAACGCAAUAAGCACUCCGCCUGGGGAGUACGACCGCAAGGUUGAAACUCAAAGGAAUUGACGGGGGCCCGCACAAGCGGUGGAGCAUGUGGUUUAAUUCGAAGCAACGCGAAGAACCUUACCAGGUCUUGACAUCCCGAUGCUAUUCUUAGAGAUAGGAAGUUACUUCGGUACAUCGGAGACAGGUGGUGCAUGGUUGUCGUCAGCUCGUGUCGUGAGAUGUUGGGUUAAGUCCCGCAACGAGCGCAACCCUUAUUGUUAGUUGCCAUCAUUAAGUUGGGCACUCUAGCGAGACUGCCGGUAAUAAACCGGAGGAAGGUGGGGAUGACGUCAAAUCAUCAUGCCCCUUAUGACCUGGGCUGCACACGUGCUACAAUGGUCGGUACAACGAGUUGCGAGCCGGUGACGGCAAGCUAAUCUCUGAAAGCCGAUCUCAGUUCGGAUUGGAGGCUGCAACUCGCCUCCAUGAAGUCGGAAUCGCUAGUAAUCGCGGAUCAGCACGCCGCGGUGAAUACGUUCCCGGGCCUUGUACACACCGCCCGUCACACCACGAGAGUUUGUAACACCCGAAGUCGGUGAGGUAACCUUUUAGGGGCCAGCCGCCU
rnacentral:rRNA from 1 species